UACAGAGGGUGCUAGCGUUGUUCGGAAUCAUUGGGCGUAAAGCGCGUGUAGGCGGUCCGGUAAGUCCGCUGUGAAAGUCGGGGGCUCAACCCUCGAAUGCCGGUGGAUACUGUCGGGCUAGAGUGCGGAAGAGGCGAGUGGAAUUCCUAGUGUAGCGGUGAAAUGCGCAGAUAUCAGGAGGAACACCUAUUGCGAAGGCAGCUCGCUGGGACGUAACUGACGCUGAGACGCGAAAGCGUGGGGAGCAAACAGG
rnacentral:rRNA from 1 species